GGGUUGUUAAUGACUUUUUGCUAACGGGAACAAAGCUCAAAAGCCAUGAGCAAGUAGAAAGUAUGUAAAUGUUUAUGUUAUUUAAGUGUUUCUCAAAAAGAAGCCCUUAAAAUAUCUGAGCUGUGGAUGCAGGGGGCGUCACUAAGGCGUUUUUGUUUGGACAAAUUGAGCUAUACCCUGAGCUAUUAAGAGACUGUGAGUCAUACAUCUGACAGGUGUGAAGUGCAAU